AGUAAGCAUAAUUAACGACAUCAUCCACAUUGCAUGUAAUCGCCUCAAUCACAUUUCUGAGCGCUUUUCCCACGAUCUCCACAUACAUCCAUUUUAUUCAUGGUUGUUCUUUUUUUCUCUUUAACGAUGUUCCUUUCAUCGCAAUUUCAGCUGACUCAUGCUCUUGAUUAAUGUUCAGGUAGGAAAAAAAUACAUUUCAGCAUUUGAUUAGCGCCUCUAUUUGAACGGUCCCGGCUAAUCAAAUUAAACUGUGUAGCGUGUCUAGCUCCCAUCUGGUUUGCUGCUUUGGGAUUCAUCCGCACAUUCUGACGAUUCAGCAAUUCAUCACACUAUGUCAUAUCUGUAGUCUCUGCUCUGUGUGUGUGUGUGUGUGUGUGUGUGAACCACAUCUACCAGACAUCUCCAUGUUAUUGAACGCUUACCUGAUGAUAAGAGAAUAGAGAACUAGACUCCAACAGUCCAAUGAACCCUCACAUAUGGUCCUGUUUUAAACUGUGGUUUGGCUAAGGUCACAUGCUCCAUACUUUGUGGUUUUAACAUUUUAUUUUCAUUAGUUUGAGGCCUUUUUCAGAAAUACUUUGGGGGUAAUUCUAAAGGGGAACCUUUUGGGUAUUUUCAUACAGAAAGCCAAAACUGUCAAUGAGACACAAACCCACGGAGAUUAUUCCUGUAACUGUUGUUAAAAAAUCAGUUAUAGAUGAGGGUUGGGAGAGUUUGUACUGGGUGCUGUCCAAUAUUGUUAUAAUCAAGGAUUUCCCGGGAGAGAUAGCCCACUACCAGUGUUAAAUAUCGGCUAUAUUAAUGUUUUAAGCGAAGAAGCAUAUUUCAGUGUAUUGUGUCCACUAUAUUUCUUUCCCAAGCAACAAUGAAUUCACAGUAGGGAAUGACAAUCCAUCCGCUGACUUGCUACAUUAUCAACAUUCAGUAUCGAGGACAAAUGACUUGACAAAGGUGCAAUUACAUUUGUUUUUAUUCUAUCAGAUAACUAAUGUGUUUGCUUUUUCAAUUUUAUAGUGUAUUUAUAUAUUGUAACAACUCUAAGAAAUUCACAUUUACACAAUGCAUUUUACUAGUAGGUAAGUACAUGUAACGUUAUUCAGCUUUACAUUCUUAUAAUUUCUUCCUUCACUCUACCAGUGUCCCCUGCUGUGGAAAAACAGUACAGAUCGAGUCAUACUGUAGAUUCUAUAUUGACACCUCUAUUCACCUGUGAGACAGCAUAGUGUUAGAUUGGGCCCGUGGGGCCGCCAGCCACAGUGAAAGGUUCAGUUGUUCACCAGUCGUUGAUGACAAUCUCUCCUGUCAGUCAGUGGUAUUAUGCCAAUCUGUUGGUCCACUGGGUCCUACUGCACUUCCAUUGAGGAGCAAUAUGAAUCACACUGCUGUCAAUAAUAUUGUGUGAAACACUGUGUGUGAAGCCACUGGAUAUGUCACAAGCAGAGAGAGGCCUCCAGGGGGAAUAUAGUGUGGGUGUGUUGGUCUGUUUUCUAUUCAAAAGCCUCAAAACUCACUACUCUGAGAGCGUCUUCCCUACUGUAUCUUUGCUACGCCAGAUUCUCUCUCUCUCUCUCUCUCUCUCUCUCACAAAAGUAUCUCUACUAAUAUAUCUACUUUGCUAUCUACCUACAUCUAAAUUCAAGCAUCAAACCACACCAAAGGGACCCUGAGUAAUCACAUGUCCCUGGGAAUCAAACCUGGACUUCAAAGCAGUAUAGUUACAGUAAGCGUAGCUACAUUGCCAAAAUCUAAUACCUACUGCGUGUUCAGUAUGCUGCGUGCCAAUAUAGAUACAUACAAAAGUGAUCAAAGGCAACCCAUACAUACAGUUUAUCAUCAGAGAGAGUGUGGUGGAGGGGGGGUAUAAGUGCUUCAGAUCACUAUUGUGAUACAGUAAAAUGUCACUGCUCUCUCAGACACAUGACAGGUGAGUAAUGGUAAUGUCACAUUGUUGCCACUUUAAAAGCGUUCUGUAUGUCUCUGUGCAGUACAGAACAGAGGGAUCCAGAUGAGAGCCAGCUGACUGAGUGAAGCUAAAUGAACCUGAAACCCUGAGGUAAUUAUACCUGCCUGUCAGGAAUGUCUCCCUAAUGGCCCCUGUGUUUACUCCCAUACCCCUACCAUACCAUACCGCAGCAGACACAUUAGCGCCACCGCACACUCUUUAGCACACACACAUAUCUGCCCGUGAGUGUGUGUGUGCAAGUGCUUGUGUUUAUUUCAGUGAGACGGAAGUCUCUGACGAGUGUCCCAUGUCUCCACUCAUUAGCAAGUACAAUAUCAUGGAUAAUUAAGGGGUCUUGAGUAUAGCCUACUAUACAGUGUUUGUAUAUCAACUCUGUAUACUAUUUCUAGCCAACUCUCGUCAGGCUACCAUGGAACAGCCUCGAAUACUGAUACUGCAGAGCCUCUUUCUGAUGAUGUCAGUUCCAUUUUUGGCAGUUGGGCAUCACAUUACGUGUCAGGUUAAUGAGUCAGCAAUGUUCAAUAGUCCAAAAAUGCUCCUCAUAUUGUAUAUCACAGCUCCUGGGGUAAUGGAGCUGCACUGCUGAGGAAGCCUUGUAACUCAAACCACUAAGAGAGGCGGAUGCGCCACAAACAGACAUGACAGAAACAUCUCGAAUCUGUUACAUUCAAAGCAUGAAUCAUUCCAACAGAAUCCUGGGGUCCAUGUUGGAUGGAGAAAAGGAGUCAAGUGUGUCAGAAAACAAGAGGAGGGAUGGUGUAUCAUGUUGCGGUUACGGAAUGAUGGAAUGAUCCACAGCCAAUGAGAAUAGGAGAGCACAGUAAUCAGAGGCAACAGUAUAACAACAACACAAAUGUGUCAGUCCCUGUACACCUUAGGAAUGUCUGUGUCUGUGGUAAGAAUAAGGAUAGGAGAUUUUGGAAUGGGUGACUAAUGCUGCAUUUAGACGAGGGACGCAGAAACCGUCAUACAAGAAGAAAGCAAGCCAGCACGACGGUAUGGUUGCUAUGGUGAUUUUGGUAAACAAACAGUGCAAAUCAACAUCAGGUAGAAAACAACGCUAUGACGCAGACAACAAAAGUUUAAAUAUUCUAACUCUGGUGGCAUGUCCCGUCUACCGUGACCUCAACGGCAUUUACCGUCGUGGUCUCAUUGAAAACAAUGACAUCCUGACGCCGUCUACCUCGUACCAUCUAAACGCAGCAUAACCGUUCCCCCACUGAGUUGUGUUGAAUAGAUGACAGUGGGAUACUAUGGAUCACAUGGAGGAUUACAACUGGCUGCUGCUGCUGAGGUCUGAGAAGACAGUCUGCUGGAGUGACGGAGUCACUGAGAGACUACUGCAGGACUAGCCCUGAGAACACACUACGAUUGGAUAGGAAUAGAUGGAGGGAUGGAAAGAGGGACAGAUAGUUACACGCUGAGAGAGAGAGAGCGAGUACGGACAAGGGGAGAGAGGGGACAGAGAGUUUAUCUACCUCUGAGGCACAAACAUUUGAUGAUGUGAGUGAAUCGGGGGGUGGAUGAAUAAUAAUUUUAGUAAAAGGUCAAAGGAAGUUGGCAGUGAACUUAUGGGUACACAAGAUAAAACUCCUUCAUGGGAUAACAUACUAACACACUUUUCAUAAUGAUUGGUCAACACCAGCUGACAGAAAAGACAGAGACCAGGAUAUCUAACACAGUGAUGCUUCUUGGAUUAUGGGUGGUAGUGAUAUUGCAACUUUAGUGACUUGAGGCAGAGGGUUGGUGUUAUGGUUGGUGUUAGGGUUGGUAUUGGCGGAGAGGUUUAGUGUUCAAAGAAACACUGGCAGAGUUGGGUUCUGUGUAGAGAUACUGGGUCAGCCUCUGAUGCUCCAGUCUGUCCAAUAAGGGUCCAUACUGGGACAAGAGGCCAGUCAGAAACCAGUGGCCACCCUUGGUGAAAAGGGGCGAUAAUGUCGUCAACUUCCUUGUUGUAUCCAAGAAACCCACUCAGUCUGUACUCUUAUACUGUAUGUCCGUUCCCACAUCAGGGUUUCCAUGGCAACCUCACUUCCCCCUCUCCUCCUUUUCCUCCUUCCUGUCAGCGGCUUCUCUUCCUCAGACCUGGGGGGGAGGUGAGUCAGGUCCCCCAUCCACCCUCACCACUGAGAGAGAGAGAGAAACAUGUUAAAAACAUAUAUGGUCAGUGAUGAAGCAUGCAGAUGUUCUCUGGUCAUAUGAAGUAACGCAGUGUCAGUGGUCAGCGGUCUAUGAUGCUGUGUCCACUCUGACACACUUUGCCCUGUAGGGGGCCUUGUGAGGUC
rnacentral:lncRNA from 1 species